rnacentral:rRNA from 1 species
AUUGAACGCUGGCGGAAUGCUUUACACAUGCAAGUCGAACGGCAGCACGGAGAGCUUGCUCUCUGGUGGCGAGUGGCGAACGGGUGAGUAAUAUAUCGGAACGUGUCCAAUAAUGGGGGAUAACGAGUCGAAAGAUUCGCUAAUACCGCAUACGCCCUACGGGGGAAAGCAGGGGAUCGUAAGACCUUGUGUUAAUGGAGCGGCCGAUAUCUGAUUAGCUAGUUGGUGAGGUAAAGGCUCACCAAGGCGACGAUCAGUAGCUGGUUUGAGAGAACGACCAGCCACACUGGAACUGAGACACGGUCCAGACUCCUACGGGAGGCAGCAGUGGGAAAUUUUGGACAAUGGGGGCAACCCUGAUCCAGCCAUUCCGCGUGAGUGAAGAAGGCCUUCGGGUUGUAAAGCUCUUUCGCAAGGGAAGAAAACUUAUGAUCGAAUAAAUCAUGAGGUUGACGGUACCUUGAUAAGAAGCACCGGCUAACUACGUGCCAGCCGCCGCCGUAA